AAGCCUCCCGCCAAACAGACGAGAGAGGAAGAGGAGGGGAGGGGCCAGAGAGAGAAGCGGCUUUCGGGAAGGAAAGUGUGGUCUAGGAGGUGGAAUAGUCUCCAAACUUUGACCUGAGAAUGUCCCUCUAUUUGGAUUUGGAUUACAAAAGUUCAACAAUUUUUGGAAAAAUCCUACCUAGGUAAUGUGUCGUUCUCAGUGCAUCAUGUCAGGCAGCUUAUGAUGCCAAUUUGUCCCAUGGUGCUGAUCCUUUUAGAGGCAGCCAUGGAAGAGGAAAAGAGGCCAGAAGAGAAAAGGAUAUUGGUUUGCUGGAACAUGUAGGACAAGAAGUUCCCAGAAGAAUUUGUGAGCAACUUCCCAACAGUAAGGCCCUGGCUAGACCUCAGGAUGGUCCCUG
rnacentral:antisense_RNA from 1 species